rnacentral:tRNA from 3 species
GCACCGGUAGCUCAGCUGGAUAGAGCAACUGGCUACGAACCAGUAGGUCGGGGGUUCGACUCCCUCCCGGUGUACCA